GGAAGGAGACGAUGAGAGCGAGUCAGGGAUUGGCUGGUCUGCUUCGGGCGGGCUAAAGGAAGGUUCAAGUGGAGCUCUCCUAACCGACGCGCGUCUGUGGAGAAGCGGCUUGGUCGAGGGUGGUCUCGUGGGGUCCUGCCUGUUUAGUCGCUUUCAGGGUUCUCGAACCCCUUCACGACCGUCACCAUGGAAGUGUCACCAUUGCAGCCCGUAAAUGAAAAUAUGCAAGUCAACAAAAUAAAGAAAAAUGAAGAUGCUAAGAAAAGACUGUCUGUUGAAAGAAUCUAUCAAAAGAAAACACAAUUGGAACAUAUUUUGCUCCGCCCAGACACCUACAUUGGUUCUGUGGAAUUAGUGACCCAGCAAAUGUGGGUUUACGAUGAAGAUGUUGGCAUUAACUAUAGGGAAGUCACUUUUGUUCCUGGUUUGUACAAAAUCUUUGAUGAGAUUCUAGUUAAUGCUGCGGACAACAAACAAAGGGACCCAAAAAUGUCUUGUAUUAGAGUCACAAUUGAUCCGGAAAACAAUUUAAUUAGUAUAUGGAAUAAUGGAAAAGGUAUUCCUGUUGUUGAACACAAAGUUGAAAAGAUGUAUGUCCCAGCUCUCAUAUUUGGACAGCUCCUAACUUCUAGUAACUAUGAUGAUGAUGAAAAGAAAGUGACAGGUGGUCGAAAUGGCUAUGGAGCCAAAUUGUGUAACAUAUUCAGUACCAAAUUUACUGUGGAAACAGCCAGUAGAGAAUACAAGAAAAUGUUCAAACAGACAUGGAUGGAUAAUAUGGGAAGAGCUGGUGAGAUGGAACUCAAGCCCUUCAAUGGAGAAGAUUAUACAUGUAUCACCUUUCAGCCUGAUUUGUCUAAGUUUAAAAUGCAAAGCCUGGACAAAGAUAUUGUUGCACUAAUGGUCAGAAGAGCAUAUGAUAUUGCUGGAUCCACCAAAGAUGUCAAAGUCUUUCUUAAUGGAAAUAAACUGCCAGUAAAAGGAUUUCGUAGUUAUGUGGACAUGUAUUUGAAGGACAAGUUGGAUGAAACUGGUAACUCCUUGAAAGUAAUACAUGAACAAGUAAACCACAGGUGGGAAGUGUGUUUAACUAUGAGUGAAAAAGGCUUUCAGCAAAUUAGCUUUGUCAACAGCAUUGCUACAUCCAAGGGUGGCAGACAUGUUGAUUAUGUAGCUGAUCAGAUUGUGACUAAACUUGUUGAUGUUGUGAAGAAGAAGAACAAGGGUGGUGUUGCAGUAAAAGCACAUCAGGUGAAAAAUCACAUGUGGAUUUUUGUAAAUGCCUUAAUUGAAAACCCAACCUUUGACUCUCAGACAAAAGAAAACAUGACUUUACAACCCAAGAGCUUUGGAUCAACCUGCCAAUUGAGUGAAAAAUUUAUCAAAGCUGCCAUUGGCUGUGGUAUUGUAGAAAGCAUACUAAACUGGGUGAAGUUUAAGGCCCAAGUCCAGUUAAACAAGAAGUGUUCAGCUGUAAAACAUAAUAGAAUCAAGGGAAUUCCCAAACUCGAUGAUGCCAAUGAUGCAGGGGGCCGAAACUCCACUGAGUGUACGCUUAUCCUGACUGAGGGAGAUUCAGCCAAAACUUUGGCUGUUUCAGGCCUUGGUGUGGUUGGGAGAGACAAAUAUGGGGUUUUCCCUCUUAGAGGAAAAAUACUCAAUGUUCGAGAAGCUUCUCAUAAGCAGAUCAUGGAAAAUGCUGAGAUUAACAAUAUCAUCAAGAUUGUGGGUCUUCAGUACAAGAAAAACUAUGAAGAUGAAGAUUCAUUGAAGACUCUUCGUUAUGGGAAGAUAAUGAUUAUGACAGAUCAGGACCAAGAUGGUUCCCACAUCAAAGGCUUGCUGAUUAAUUUUAUCCAUCACAACUGGCCCUCUCUUCUGCGACAUCGUUUUCUGGAGGAAUUUAUCACUCCCAUUGUAAAGGUGUCUAAAAACAAGCAAGAAAUGGCAUUUUACAGCCUUCCUGAAUUUGAAGAAUGGAAGAGUUCUACUCCAAAUCAUAAAAAAUGGAAAGUCAAAUAUUACAAAGGUUUGGGCACCAGCACAUCAAAGGAAGCUAAAGAAUACUUUGCAGAUAUGAAAAGACAUCGUAUCCAGUUCAAAUAUUCUGGUCCUGAAGAUGAUGCUGCUAUCAGCCUGGCCUUUAGCAAAAAACAGAUAGAUGAUCGAAAGGAAUGGUUAACUAAUUUCAUGGAGGAUAGAAGACAACGAAAGUUACUUGGGCUUCCUGAGGAUUACUUGUAUGGACAAACUACCACAUAUCUGACAUAUAAUGACUUCAUCAACAAGGAACUUAUCUUGUUCUCAAAUUCUGAUAACGAGAGAUCUAUCCCUUCUAUGGUGGAUGGUUUGAAACCAGGUCAGAGAAAGGUUUUGUUUACUUGCUUCAAACGGAAUGACAAGCGAGAGGUAAAGGUUGCCCAAUUAGCUGGAUCAGUGGCUGAAAUGUCUUCUUAUCAUCAUGGUGAGAUGUCACUAAUGAUGACCAUUAUCAAUUUGGCUCAGAAUUUUGUGGGUAGCAAUAAUCUAAACCUCUUGCAGCCCAUUGGUCAGUUUGGUACCAGGCUACAUGGUGGCAAGGAUUCUGCUAGUCCACGAUACAUCUUUACAAUGCUCAGCUCUUUGGCUCGAUUGUUAUUUCCACCAAAAGAUGAUCACACGUUGAAGUUUUUAUAUGAUGACAACCAGCGUGUUGAGCCUGAAUGGUACAUUCCUAUUAUUCCCAUGGUGCUGAUAAAUGGUGCUGAAGGAAUCGGUACUGGGUGGUCCUGCAAAAUCCCCAACUUUGAUGUGCGUGAAAUUGUAAAUAACAUCAGGCGUUUGAUGGAUGGAGAAGAACCAUUGCCAAUGCUUCCAAGUUACAAGAACUUCAAGGGUACUAUUGAAGAACUGGCUCCAAAUCAAUAUGUGAUUAGUGGUGAAGUAGCUAUUCUUAAUUCUACAACCAUUGAAAUCUCAGAGCUUCCCAUCAGAACAUGGACCCAGACAUACAAAGAACAAGUUCUAGAACCCAUGUUGAAUGGCACCGAGAAGACACCUCCUCUCAUAACAGACUAUAGGGAAUACCAUACAGAUACCACUGUGAAAUUUGUUGUGAAGAUGACUGAAGAAAAACUGGCAGAGGCAGAGAGAGUUGGACUACACAAAGUCUUCAAACUCCAAACUAGUCUCACAUGCAACUCUAUGGUGCUUUUUGACCACGUAGGCUGUUUAAAGAAAUAUGACACGGUGUUGGAUAUUCUAAGAGACUUUUUUGAACUCAGACUUAAAUAUUAUGGAUUAAGAAAAGAAUGGCUCCUAGGAAUGCUUGGUGCUGAAUCUGCUAAACUGAAUAAUCAGGCUCGCUUUAUCUUAGAGAAAAUAGAUGGCAAAAUAAUCAUUGAAAAUAAGCCUAAGAAAGAAUUAAUUAAAGUUCUGAUUCAGAGGGGAUAUGAUUCGGAUCCUGUGAAGGCCUGGAAAGAAGCCCAGCAAAAGGUUCCAGAUGAAGAAGAAAAUGAAGAGAGUGACAACGAAAAGGAAACUGAAAAGAGUGACUCCGUAACAGAUUCUGGACCAACCUUCAACUAUCUUCUUGAUAUGCCCCUUUGGUAUUUAACCAAGGAAAAGAAAGAUGAACUCUGCAGGCUAAGAAAUGAAAAAGAACAAGAGCUGGACACAUUAAAAAGAAAGAGUCCAUCAGAUUUGUGGAAAGAAGACUUGGCUACAUUUAUUGAAGAAUUGGAGGCUGUUGAAGCCAAGGAAAAACAAGAUGAACAAGUCGGACUUCCUGGGAAAGGGGGGAAGGCCAAGGGGAAAAAAACACAAAUGGCUGAAGUUUUGCCUUCUCCACGUGGUCAAAGAGUCAUUCCACGAAUAACCAUAGAAAUGAAAGCAGAGGCAGAAAAGAAAAAUAAAAAGAAAAUUAAGAAUGAAAAUACUGAAGGAAGCCCUCAAGAAGAUGGUGUGGAACUAGAAGGCCUAAAACAAAGAUUAGAAAAGAAACAGAAAAGAGAACCAGGUACAAAGACAAAGAAACAAACUACAUUGCCAUUUAAGCCAAUCAAAAAAGGAAAGAAGAGAAAUCCCUGGUCUGAUUCAGAAUCAGAUAGGAGCAGUGACGAAAGUAAUUUUGAUGUCCCUCCACGAGAAACAGAGCCACGGAGAGCAGCAACAAAAACCAAAUUCACAAUGGAUUUGGAUUCAGAUGAAGAUUUCUCAGAUUUUGAUGAAAAAACUGAUGAUGAAGAUUUUGUCCCAUCAGAUGCUAGUCCACCUAAGACCAAAACUUCCCCAAAGCAAACUUAGUAACAAAGAACUGAAACCACAGAAAAGUGUCGUGUCAGACCUUGAAGCUAAUGAUGCUAAGGACAGUGUACCACUGUCUUCAAGCCCUCCUGCUACACAUUUCCCAGAUGAAACUGAAAUUACAAACCCAGUUCCUAAAAAGAAUGUGACAGUGAAGAAGACAGCAGCAAAAAGUCAGUCUUCCACCUCCACUACCGGUGCCAAAAAAAGGGCUGCCCCAAAAGGAACUAAAAGGGAUCCAGCUUUGAAUUCUGGUGUCUCUCAGAAGCCUGAUCCUGCCAAAACCAAGAAUCGCCGCAAAAGGAAGCCAUCCACUUCUGAUGAUUCUGACUCUAAUUUUGAGAAAAUUGUUUCGAAAGCAGUCACAAGCAAGAAAUCCAAGGGGGAGAGUGAUGACUUCCAUAUGGACUUUGACUCAGCUGUGGCUCCUCGGGCAAAAUCUGUACGGGCAAAGAAACCUAUAAAGUACCUGGAAGAGUCAGAUGAAGAUGAUCUGUUUUAAAAUGUGAGGUGAUUAUUUUAAGUAAUUAUCUUACCAAGCCCAAGACUGGUUUUAAAGUUACCUGAAGCUCUUAACUUCCUCCCCUCUGAAUUUAGUUUGGGGAAGGUGUUUUUAGUACAAGACCAUCAAAGUGAAGUAAAGCCCAAGUGUUCUUUAGCUUUUUAUAAUACUGUCUAAAUAGUGACCAUCUCAUGGGCAUUGUUUUCUUCUCUGCUUUGUCUGUGUUUUGAGUCUGCUUUCUUUUGUCUUUAAAACCUGAUUUUUAAGUUCUUCUGAACUGUAGAAAUAGCUAUCUGGUCACUUCAGCGUAAAGCAGUGUGUUUAUUAACCAUCCACUAAGCUAAAACUAGAGCAGUUUGAUUUAAAAGUGUCACUCUUCCUCCUUUUCUACUUUCAGUAAAUAUGAGAUAGAGCAUAAUUAUCUGUUUUAUCUUAGUUUUAUACAUAAUUUACCAUCAGAUAGAACUUUAUGGUUCUAGUACAGACACUCUACUACACUCAGCCUCUUAUGUGCCAAGUUUUUCUUUAAGCAAUGAGAAAUUGCUCAUGUUCUUCAUCUUCUCAAAUCAUCAGAGGCCGAAGAAAAACACUUUGGCUGUGUCUAUAACUUGACACAGUCAAUAGAAUGAAGAAAAUUAGACUAGUUAUGUGAUUAUUUCAGCUCUUGACCUGUCCCCUCUGGCUGCCUCUGAGUCUGAAUCUCCCAAAGAGAGAAACCAAUUUCUAAGGAUUGCAGAAGACUCGGGGACAACAUUUGAUCCAAGAUCUUAAAUGUUAUAUUGAUAACCAUGCUCAGCAAUCAGCUAUUAGAUUCAUUCUGGGAAAUCUCCAUAAUUUCAAUUUGUAAACUUUGUUAGGACCUGUCUACAUUGUUAUAUGUGUGUGACUUGAGUAAUAUUAUCAACGUUUUUGUAAAUAUUUACUAUGUUUUUCUAUUAGCUAAAUUCCAACAAUUUUGUACUUUAAUAAAAUGUUCUAAACAUUGCAA